CUAAGAAUAUUCCGCAAUGGACGGAAGUCUGACGGAGCGACGCCGCGUGGAUGACGAAGGCCGAAAGGUUGUAAAGUUCUUUGCUGGGGAAGAAUAACCGCAGGAGGGAAUGCCUGUGGGAUGACAAGAACCGGCGAAUAAGCCCCGGCCAACUACGUGCCAGCAGCCGCGGUAACACGUAGGGGGCGAGCGUUGUUCGGAAUUACUGGGCGUAAAGGGCAUGUAGGCGGCUUGGAAAGCCUGGCGUGAAAGUCUGCAGCUUAACUGCAGGGGUGCGCUGGGAACUGCUGAGCUUGAGUGACGGAGAGGGAGCUGGAAUUCCUGGUGUAGGGGUGAAAUCUGUAGAUAUCAGGAAGAACACCGAUGGCGAAGGCAAGCUCCUGGCCGAUGACUGACGCUGAGGUGCGAAAGUGUGGGGAUCAAACAGGAUUAGAUACCCUGGUAGUCCACACAGUCAACGAUGUGCACUAGGUGCUGGGGCGGUAGCUUCGGUGCCGGAGCGAACGUGGUGAAGUGCACCGCCUGGGGAGUAUGCUCGCAAGGGUGAAACUUAAAGG
rnacentral:rRNA from 1 species